GAACAAUUGAAGCCUGGUCAUUCCCGGCAGAGAAGCGUAGCUGCAGACACGUUUUCUGAUUUGAAGCAGCUAGUAUAUGUACAUAGCAGCAGUACAUGCAAUAUAUUGACACUGGCACGGAGACAGGUCCGUGCGUCGACGAUAUUGGUACUGGAUAUUGGGUACAUGCACUAAGCUGAGGGGAUCGUCUGAUCGUGGUGACACAGCGGAAGGUUCCAGGACUAAAGCCCGAAAGGAUGCUGUGUGUGUGAUCAAGACUCGCUGAUGGUGGACACACACAGAUAAGUCAAACCACGUAACGUUGUGAUAGUUCGUUAGAUGAACACUAGUCAGCUAAUGGCAAACCUGAGACGGUUUUAUGUAUACGCUGAUGAUGAAGACGUUGAUGAUCGAUGGUACAGAGACGAUUACUACACUGGGAAAUGUUUGGCAAUAAUUGAGACAUUGAUUGAUUGAUAACUGAGAUAUAUACCCGGGGAAGAAGUGUGGUUGAUUGUUAAUUGGAUAAUUGGUUACCAAUUGAAUUGAAUUGUGUUUUUUUAGUUAACUGUUUAAUAGUGAGUAAGAGGUGUGGAUCAGAGUGCGGUAGAUGGUGUGAGGUGUUUGUUAUUAUUAUUUUUUUUGUAAAUAAAUUUAUUAAACUUA